UUCUCCUGUGUAAGUGCCAGUGUCUGUUUCUUUCUCCAGCCUCACGCUCUAAACAAGAUGCCUCUGGCAGGAGGCCUGGGUAGAUGGAGUCUUCCAAGUCCAAUGCAACUUCACUGUUCCUGACUUAUGAAGAGAGCUGGAAGGAGUGACGGAAAGGCCAUGAGGAGACCUGGUUUCUUGAACCAUAUGAAUCAGUGCCCACCAGUGACCUGCAGAGACUCCACCCACCAGUGUCCUGCAGAGACCCCGACGCUGGCCCUGGCCCGGGCCCUGUGCCGGCUGACUUCUGCUCUAAGUCCAAAUGUUUGCUCAUCAAGACGUCUUUGCGGACACGCACACUUGCCUGGAGACCUCAUGCACACAUGUGUAAGCACUCACGUGGACCCGAGGGUUUUGCAGCCUCACGGGAACAGUGCUCAUGGAGGAAGUCCUGUGUGAUUCAUUCUGUUUGUCUGCUUGGCUGAUGUUUCCAGUUUCCGUGUAAUUUGCUCCUUUUGCAUUAAGACAGAAGUAAUGGUG